UACGAAGGGGGCUAGCGUUGUUCGGAAUCACUGGGCGUAAAGCGCACGUAGGCGGAUUUUUAAGUCAGGGGUGAAAUCCCGAGGCUCAACCUCGGAACUGCCUUUGAUACUGGAGAUCUUGAGUCCGGAAGAGGUAAGUGGAACUGCGAGUGUAGAGGUGAAAUUCGUAGAUAUUCGCAAGAACACCAGUGGCGAAGGCGGCUCACUGGCCCGGUACUGACGCUGAGGAGCGAAAGCGUGGGGAGCAAACAGG
rnacentral:rRNA from 1 species